rfam:Stegodyphus mimosarum contig76062, whole genome shotgun sequence.
GCCUUCGUAGUGUAGUGGUCAGCACGCUCGACGCGUAACCAAGAGUUCCGAGGUUCGAAUCCCGGCGAAGGCG